rnacentral:tRNA from 1 species
AUAAUUUAAUUUGCCGAUCCACCAUGAAAUGAUAUAACCCAUUUGUUGUUCUCCGGAAAUGACUGAUGUGUUCUGAUACGGAAGAAUCAAAAUAGGAUACAUCCCUAACGCUAUUUCUUUUUUUUCCGUAUAAAGUCUAAGGAAAUGAUUAAAUUAAAGUAAAUAAAUAAAAAAGAGUCUUUUUUAUUUUCAUUGAUUCGUUUUUCAAUCGAUUUAGCAAUAACGAACGGAUUACUCGUAAUCCGUGUCAAUCUCAAUAAAAUGCAUAUCUAUAUAAUAUCUAUUAUCUAUAUAAUAUCUAAAUGGAUAUCAAUAUAUAAAUAAGUCCGCCUCUGUCAUUUACAGCACAACGGUUCGAAUCUAAAAUAGAAAAGGAAAUGGUUGAA